rnacentral:rRNA from 1 species
GAUGAACGCUGGCGGCGUGCUUAACACAUGCAGGUCGAACGAGAAAUGUAGACGGAAACCUUCGGGCGGAAGCCUUCAUUUCGAGUGGCGGACGGGUGAGUAACGCGUGGGUAACCUGCCUCAUACAGGGGGAUAACAGUUGGAAACGACUGUUAAUACCGCAUAAGACCACAGCAUCGCAUGAUGCGGGGGUAAAAACUCCGGUGGUAUGAGAUGGACCCGCGUUCGAUUAGCCAGUUGGCGGGGUAACGGCCCACCAAAGCGACGAUCGAUAGCCGAUCUGAGAGGAUGACCGGCCACAUUGGGACUGAGACACGGCCCAAACUCCUACGGGAAGCAGCAGUGGGGAAUAUUGCACAAUGGGGGAAACCCUGAUGCAGCGACGCCGCGUGAGUGAAGAAGUACUUCGGUAUGUAAAGCUCUAUCAGCAGGGAAGAAAAUGACGGUACCUGAGGAAGAAGCCCCGGCUAACUACGUG